CCAAAUAUACACUAAAAACCUAACAAAAUCCCUAUAGAAAUUAAGAAAUCAACAAAAACCUUGUCAUGUCUAAUGAUCAAAGAGCUCUAGUCCUAUCAAGCAACAACAAUAAUAGAGACAACAAUCAUGAAGAUCAUCAGGAUCAAGAUCAAGAUCAAGAUCAGAAUCAGAAUCAGAAUCAUCGAGAUGAUCAUAUCAGAGAUAUCCACACUAUGUCACCACCACAACCACCAGUACCACCAAUCAUGAUGAAUAUUAAUCGUGCAGGACGAAGAAGGGAAGCUUGGGAAACAAGUAGUCAUAGAUCAUCAUCUUUGUCCUCAGAGUUAGG
rnacentral:lncRNA from 1 species